rnacentral:misc_RNA from 1 species
UCCGAGUUGACCCCGGCAGUCUCCCAUGAGUCCCCGGCAUAACCCGCUGGCAACACAGGACAAGGGUUGCGCUCGUUGCGGGACUUAACCCAACAUCUCACGACACGAGCUGACGACAGCCAUGCACCACCUGCACACCAGCCACAAGGGAACGCCUAUCUCUAGACGCGUCUGGCGCAUGUCAAGCCCAGGUAAGGUUCUUCGCGUUGCAUCGAAUUAAGCCACAUGCUCCGCCGCUUGUGCGGGUCCCCGUCAAUUCCUUUGAGUUCUAGCCUUGCGGCCGUACUCCCCAGGCGGGGUGCUUAAUGCGUUAGCUGCGGCACGGAGAGGGUUGAAACCUCCCCACACCUAGCACCCAACGUUUACGGCUGGGACUAC